UACGAAGGAUGCGAGCGUUAUCCGGAUUUAUUGGGUUUAAAGGGUGCGUAGGCGGACUGUCAAGUCAGCGGUAAAAUACGGGGGCUCAACCUCCGCCCGCCGUUGAAACUGGAAGACUUGAGUGUGUUUGAGGUAGGCGGAAUGCGCGGUGUAGCGGUGAAAUGCAUAGAUAUCGCGCAGAACUCCGAUUGCGAAGGCAGCAUGCCGGCUCCACACUGACGCUGAGGCACGAAAGCGUGGGUAUCGAACAGG
rnacentral:rRNA from 1 species